CUUUGUCCCAGAGUUUUCGGUGCCUGAUGCUGCUUCAUGGUAGCUUUCACGGCUUAAAAGGGAAUCCGGUAAAGGCCGGAGCUGUCCCCGCAACUGUACGUCUUAGUAACAUCCGGUUCUUCUGCAUGGUCACUGCGCUUCGGUGCGGGAAGGCCCGAACCGGAAAGAUAAGCCAGGAGACCUGCCGACGACGAUCCGUUGUU
rnacentral:ncRNA from 1 species